UUUUUUUCUUUUUUUUUUUUUUUUUGGCUAUGCUCUUAGCAUGCAGAAGUUCCCAGACCAGGGAUGGAGCCCAAACCACAGGAGUGACCAUGCUGAAUCCUUAACUGCUAGGCCACCAAGGAACUUCAAGUUUCUUUGUUCAUAUGAAAAUAUUGGUUCUUGUGAGCAGUGUUCACAUAAAAGAACAAUGAACAGUAUAGACAGACUUUUUAGAGGCUUGGAGAGAUAGAUUAAAAAAAAUAGCUGCAGGUGUUUUUGAGAGAGUCGGUGUCUCUCCCCUUGAGUGUGGGCUGAUCUUGGUGACUCGUUGAUCAACAGACUGUGGCAGAAGUAAUGGUAUGGGACUCUCGAGGCUAGGUCACAAGAAGCCUUGUGGCAUGACAGGCCUCUCGGAGCCCUGAGUCACCAUGUAUAAACCCAACUGCCACGUGGCCCUGAAACCACAUGGAGAGGGGAGAGCGGGAAAGGGAGCAGCUGGGCUCAGCCUCCAACCAUCCCUACCAAGCCAUCGUGGACCCUAGGGACCAGCCCAGACAUCACCUGAAUGUCCCCAAGCAGUUCCAGUGGUACUGUGUGGGGCAGAAAAUUUGCCCUGCUGAUCCCCGCCUGGAUCCCGGAUACAGAAUUGUGAGAGAAAAUAAAAUGGUGGCGGUUUUAAUUCCCCAAGUUUUGGGUUAGUUAAACAGCGAAAACACUUGGGAGUGCUGCGCUUGUGGGCUUUUUCUUCCAACGUGAUGCACUUCCAAACAGUAUUAGGGAGGUAGGGUUUUAAGGCAUCGACAUCUAGGAAGGUAGCCUAGCCUAAUAAGGAGCUACGAUAAUCUAGAAAAUAAUUUAAACGUUACCUUUUUCUAGUUGCCUUCUCAAAAAAGGUGGUACUCUUCGGGGUGGUUUUUCAACUUUAUCCUCUUUUAUUGGCUUUUCCAUCAGAACAGUCACUUCUUUAAGUGCUUCCUGGGAAGGCUGGACAAUUGGAUAGGCUGGGACCCAAUCAAAUUCUUUUACCUCCCCUUUCCCUGCCGGAGAUUUCAGGAAAGCGGGGGAGGCUCGGGUAGAGAGCUUCUGAGUCCUCCUUGACCGUUUCUUUGCUCCCUGAGUUCUCUCCCUCAAGUCAUGUGAUCUCAAUGUCCCUCUGCCUCUUUGCCCAGGCCACCCUGUGCGUUUUGGUCUCAGUGUGUGCGUUUUCUGGCUCUUUCCAGUUGUGUUCAUGCUUCCCCAGGGUUAGUACUUUGGGGGGAAGUAUUUCACUUGGGAUCUUCUGAGAGAGUGGUUGAUACUCGUGGUCUUUGAGGCCCACUAGCUCGUUCUGCUCCAUGUACGUGUUUAUCUGGUUCAGCUCCCUCUCAGGCACUAGAUAGUACCGUUUUUUUCGCAUCUUCUGCUUUUCCAUUCUGUGGUCUCUUUUCCUCCGUCUUAAUUUCCCAUUUUGGAAUCAUUUUGUACGCGCCUGCUGCUUCCAGCAUCACGUCCUGGCAGUGUUGAUGGUGGCAUGCCUCUGCUUGGGCAACGCAGAGGGCAAAAGACUCGGCCUUCAGUUUAUGAAGUCUUUCCUUCUCCUGUUGAAUCUUUUGGGCUAACAGUUUCCUCAUGUCUGAAGCAUGGACACCACCUAAACUCUUGUCAAAGGGAAGUAUUAGAACUCUUUAAGUUGGCCGUCUUUUAUUACAAAUAUAGUCCAAGGCACAGAUCUCCAGCGGGUAUCAGCUCUGCCUGGCACUCUGACUCCGUGUCCCAGUUAGGGUCUCAACAGUUUCCCGUCUUCCUCACGAGACCGCCAGCCCCUGCUUUUCCUCCUAGGUGAAGAUUGUGCCUUAGAUACUCACGAGAAAGCAGAAGCAGUCACAGAAACACCCCCCUGCACGACCCCAGACUCUGCCUUUCCGUCUUUACCCCGGGGACAGUGCCGCUUCGCCUGCCGAGCAAAAGCCGGUUCUUCCUCCUGCGCUUGUUGAGCUUCAAGACCCGCAAGUUACAGUGAUCAGACUCCCUCUCCUGCUUCAAAAUUUCCCGUCUGCCGGAUCACUGCAUUGGCAUCAAAGUACGCUUCCGUAUGUAUCAUCUUGAAACAAAAAAGGAAAACUCUUCCUUUGCUGCACCUCCCUUUUGCACCCCCUUCGCAGUGACCCCCCCCCACUUUCUGGUCUCACAUUUCCCCCUCUGUCUUCUUCAGUUCGCCUUCCAUCCCCUGCCACUUGUCCGAGGCUGCUCUCAUCCAGGUCGCCAGCGGUUUCAUUUCUGUCCCUGUCACAUUUCUCGGCAGCCCUCUACAGCGUGCUCCUUGAGAAUGCUUUCAUUUUUCCCAGCUUCCAAGAUCUGUGACUGUCUUGGACCCCCCCCUAUGCUACUUCAGCCCUGAGUGUCCCCAAGGGACUGGAGAGCCCCUAGUUCACUUCCGGCCUCCUGGCCACCUCCCCACCUGCUUUGCCAGUUAUCUUGAAAUGGAAUGUAGGAAAACGUUGCAGAGGAGCCAUCGGUUAGGUUAGAGCGUGGUCACAUUCAGGCUGUCCUGGGACAAGAAGAGUCCCGAUCAUUCAACAAUGGAUGCGGGGGGCGGGGGGGGGGAUGAGUGAGACGACGAGGUGGGGGCUGCCCGUGCGCCUCAACCUCAGGCCCAGAGACCACCGCCUCCACUCGACUUUUCCUCCAAAGUGUUUCUGGCCGGUUCCCCUUCUCAAUCCUGUCACUGCCAACUCCAAAAUGCCCCACCCCCUAGGGUAGCAGCCUGUACCUGGCUUCCCCGAAUUUCUGCUCUCCCUCUGUCCCCAGCUCCACUGACACGUCGCACAGAAGCCAGAAUGAUCUUUGCGUUACCUACAUCCACGCACACCAUCACUUUCCUGCGUACAAACCUGGGAUAGUGUCCUACUGCUUUUAGGAGAAAACCCC
rnacentral:lncRNA from 1 species